rnacentral:lncRNA from 1 species
CUUAUUCAGAAGUUAUUAAUGCAUCCUAUUUAAUCCAUAUUUAUCCUUUUAUAAUGUUAGAAUUAUCCCAAAUCGAACUUGUCAACUUUAUGGCCAUUUUGGUUACUUUCAUAUUGUGUACACACGUACUAUUUUUAGGUGUAUUGAUUAACUUGAUCUUUUAAACGUUUAGAGAAAAGUAUAGUCAGUUUCAAAUUACCUCGCAGACAGAUCAGCUGUUUUUAGUAAGUGACCUAGAUUUUACUAUUCAUGUAUUUUCACUAUUAUAGCACACACUGCAAUUCUAUUUAGAUAUAUUGUAAUUGAUUCAUAAUUAUUAUUUAUGAUAUUAGCUUUUAAUAAAGCUGCUUUUAUUUAAUUCCAACAAAUCUUAUUCUUGAUUAUUCAAAGUUUGGACUUCAAAACAGUUUUAUUCCUUCGACUUUAAAAUUGAUAUUUAUAUAAUAUCUGCCAACCAUUUACAAUAACGGUUGGCGCUUCAAUUGGUGGCAGCGGUAAAAAGAACAUUUAAAAAAAAAAAAAAGAAAAAGAGAGGAAAAAAGUAAUACAUAAAAAAAAAACCAACAACAUACAAAUCAGCAUAUAUUGAAACUCAAACUGUGGUUUACAUAUGAUAUUAUUGAGCACCAAGAGUUAUUGAAAUUCAAGGUGUAUUUUCCAUAAAUAAAUUAUUGAACACCAAGAGUUAUUGAAAUUCAAGGUGUAUUUUUCCAUAAAAAAUUAUUGAGCACCAAGAGUUAUUGAAAUUCAAGGUGUAUUUUCCAUAUAAAUUAUUGAGCACCAAGAGUUAUUGAAAUUCAAGGUGUAUUUUUUCCAUAAAUAAAUUAUUGAACACCAAGAGUUAUUGAAAUUCAAGGUGUAUUUUCCAUAAAUAAAUUAUUGAACACCAAGAGUUAUUGAAAUUCAAGGUGUAUUUUUCCAUAAAUAAAUUAUUGAGCACCAAGAGUUAUUGAAAUUCAAGGUGUAUUUUCCAUAAAUAAAUUAUUGAACACCAAGAGUUAUUGAAAUUCAAGGUGUAUUUUUCCAUAAAUAAAUUAUUGAACAC